UACGUAGGGUGCAAGCGUUAAUCGGAAUUACUGGGCGUAAAGCGUGCGCAGGCGGUUUUGUAAGUCUGUCGUGAAAUCCCCGGGCUCAACCUGGGAAUUGCGAUGGAGGCUGCAAGGCUAGAAUCUGGCAGAGGGGGGUGAGAAUUCCACGUGUGAGCAGUGAAAUGCGUAGAGAUAGUGGAGGAACACCGAUGGCGAAGGCAGCCCCCUGGGUCAAG
rnacentral:rRNA from 1 species